AUGUUUGGCAUCUGGAGUUUCUGGAAAGUGCAGCCAAGUCUCUCCGUUAUGCUUUGUGUUGGUUCUGGGCUGAUUAAAGCCAGACUAUGUGGAAGUAAGUGGGAUUCUUCUAUUACAAAUGAGGAACCUGAGGCUCAAGAAAGUCCCUUCAAUCAUCACUUGUGUUACACUGCAUAAUCAGGAUUUGACUUUGUGAGCUCCCUGAGAGCAGAGCAGCAGGGCUGUGAAGGCCAGGAAAAUGGUCACCAGAUCAUCUCUCCCCUGAUCAUGUCUGCGACUGACUAGAGAGAGAGCUGAGAGUCAAAGGUGAACAACCACACUUGUGAGAGCCUAGUGACACAUACAUACUCCUGGCCCACAGUUGGCAGGAGAAGCAUCUCUGCCCUCCUGGUGACCCACUCCUCAUGACCCACAGGAGCAAAGGAGCCUUUGCACUUGAAGCGAUGGUGUUUAAGGACUUGGUUCCACAGCCAGAGCAUCUGAUUUGAAGUUGAACUCUGCCUUUUACUAGUCAUGUGAUUUUGGGCUAGUUAAUUAACCUUAAGUGCCUCAGUUUUUUCAUCUAUGAGAUAGGGACCAUGAUAUGACUUGCCAGGCAGAGUAUCUGCAAUGUUUCAAUGACACAUGUAAAGCACUUAGAACAGGACCUGAAACAUAUUAGGC
rnacentral:lncRNA from 10 species